rnacentral:rRNA from 1 species
AGAGUUUGAUCAUGGCUCAGAUUGAACGCUGGCGGCAGGCCUAACACAUGCAAGUCGAGCGGUAACAUUUCAAAAGCUUGCUUUUGAAGAUGACGAGCGGCGCACGGGUGAGUAACGCGUGGGAAUCUACCUAGUAGUGGGGGACAACAGUUGGAAACGACUGCUAAUACCGCAUACGUCCUAAGGGAGAAAGCGGGGGAUCUUCGGACCUCGUGCUAUUAGAUGAGCCCGCGUAAGAUUAGCUAGUUGGUGGGGUAAUGGCUCACCAAGGCGACGAUCUUUAGCUGGUCUGAGAGGAUGAUCAGCCACACUGGAACUGAGACACGGUCCAGACUCCUACGGGAGGCAGCAGUGGGGAAUAUUGCACAAUGGGCGCAAGCCUGAUGCAGCCAUGCCGCGUGUGUGAAGAAGGCUCUAGGGUUGUAAAGCACUUUAAGCGAGGAGGAAAGGAUUGUAGUUAAUAGCUGCGAUCUGUGACGUUACUCGCAGAAUAAGCACCGGCUAACUCCGUGCCAGCAGCCGCGGUAAUACGAGGGGUGCAAGCGUUAAUCGGAAUUACUGGGCGUAAAGCGUUCGUAGGCGGUCUAUUAAGCAAGAUGUGAAAGCCCAGGGCUCAACCUUGGAACUGCAUUUUGAACUGGUAGACUAGAGUACUGUAGAGGGUGGUGGAAUUUCCAGUGUAGCGGUGAAAUGCGUAGAGAUCUGAAGGAACACCAGUGGCGAAGGCGGCUCUCUGGACCAACACUGACGCUGAGGUGCGAAAGCGUGGGUAGCAAACGGGAUUAGAUACCCUGGUAGUCCACGCCGUAAACGAUGUCUACUAGCCGUUGGAGGACUUGAUCCUUUAGUGGCGCAGCUAACGCACUAAGUAGACCGCCUGGGGAGUACGGCCGCAAGGUUAAAACUCAAAUGAAUUGACGGGGGCCCGCACAAGCGGUGGAGCAUGUGGUUUAAUUCGAUGCAACGCGAAGAACCUUACCUACUCUUGACAUCCAGUGAACAUUGCAGAGAUGCAUUGGUGCCUUUGGGAACAUUGAGACAGGUGCUGCAUGGCUGUCGUCAGCUCGUGUCGUGAGAUGUUGGGUUAAGUCCCGUAACGAGCGCAACCCUUGUCCUUAUUUGCCAGCACGUAAUGGUGGGAACUCUAAGGAGACUGCCGGUGACAAACCGGAGGAAGGGGGGGACGACGUCAAGUCAUCAUGGCCCUUACGACCUGGGCUACACACGUGCUACAAUGGGCGGUACAGAGGGUUGCCAAGCCGCGAGGUGGAGCUAAUCCCUUAAAGCCGGUCGUAGUCCGGAUUGGAGUCUGCAACUCGACUCCAUGAAGUCGGAAUCGCUAGUAAUCGUGGAUCAGAAUGCCACGGUGAAUACGUUCCCGGGCCUUGUACACACCGCCCGUCACACCAUGGGAGUGGGUUGCUCCAGAAGUGGUUAGCCUAACCUUCGGGAGGGCGAUCACCACGGAGUGAUUCAUGACUGGGGUGAAGUCGUAACAAGGUAGCCCUAGGGGAACCUGGGGCUGGAUCACCUCCUU